rnacentral:lncRNA from 1 species
CACAAGCCUGAUGAACUGAGUUCAGGCCCCAGAACCCACAAUGAGUGGAGGGAACUAACUCCUGAAAGUUGCCCUCUGACUUCCACACAUGCACCAUGUCACCCAUGAGCACACAUAUCAUACACAUAUACAAUAAACAAAUAAUCUAAAGGUUGACCAGACCCGAACAGAAUACUGUAUAGUUUUCAUCUAUAUAUAUAGACGAAAUACAUACAUAUGUAUUUCAUAAAUUCUAAUUUAAAUUUUUCCUUGGGGAACUAGAGGUACAGCAUAGUGAAAGUGUGGGCAGGAUUUCUCUGUGGCUUUGGAGGCUGUCCUGGAACUAGCUCUUGUAGACCAGGCUGGUCUCGAACUCACAGAGAUCUUCCUACCUCUGCUUCCCAAGUGCUGGGAUUAAAGGCAUCCGCCGCCGCCGCAGCCGCCGCCGCCACCACCACCACCACCCAGCUGUUUUUUUGUUUUUUGAGACAGGGUUUCUCUGUGUACUUUGGAGCCUGUCCUGGAACUUGCUCUGCAGGCCAGGCUGGUCUCAAACUCACAGAAAUACACCUGUCUCUGUCUCCCUAGUUCUGGGAUUAAAGGUAUGUGUCACCACUGCCUGGUGAGGCUCUGGAUGAUUUUUAGCAUUGCAAAAAAAUAAAUAAAAACUAUUUAUUGUAGUGGGUCGGUGGUGGUACAUACCUUUAAUUCCAGCACUCAGGAGGCAGAGGCAGGCAGAUCUCUGAGUUUGAGGCCAGCCUGAUCUAUAGAGAGAGUUCCAGGACAGCCAGAGCUACACAGAGAAAACCUGUCUCAACCAUUCACCCCACCAAAAAAACCUAUUUGUUGUCAAAUUAAUUGUAGAUUUUCAGGAGGUCCCUAUGGACACACACCCUUUUCUCUUAUCCCACUCAGCCUCCUCCGACAGUGACACUUUAUAUAGCUACAAUACAUUGUUGAAACAAAGAAACAAUGGCACAAUUCAUAGAGUUUACUCAGACCCUGUGGGUCACACAUGAGCUGUGAUUACACUAUUCAAAAGCACCACAAUCAAGAAACCUAUACUGGGCAGUGAUGGCACACACCUUUAAUCCCAGCACUUGGGAGGCAGAGGCAUGCUCCACCAACACCCUGCUUGGAUAUUUUCUAGGUUUUGGUUAUUAUGAAUAAAGCUUCAUAAACAUUCAUGUACAAAUUCCAAUGUGACAUUCUUUCUCUAGACUAAAGAGCCAAAACUCAACACUCAAGAGUACAUAGGUGCAGCGAUGGGCCUGACACUGCAUGCCUGUAAUUCCAACACAUAAAAGAAGGCAGAGGAGAAGGAGUUUCAAGGCCAGCAUCAGCUACAGAGUGAGAUUGAGAGAUGUUUGGUAAUGCCAUGUGUUGAUAAACAUGUUAAACAGCGCUAACAAUAACACACACUCAUUUGACCAGUGUGAAGACUUGAUCUACUUGGGAAGGUGAAUAUUCAUAUAGUUUGUG